rnacentral:rRNA from 1 species
GUAAGCGUGCGCAGCGGUUAUGUAAGACAGAUGUGAAAUCCCCGGGCUCAACCUGGGAACUGCAUUAGUGACUGCAUAGCUGGAGUACGGCAGAGGGGGAUGGAAUUCCGCGUGUAGCAGUGAAAUGCGUAGAUAUGCGGAGGAACACCGAUGGCGAAGGCAAUCCCCUGGGCCUGUACUGACGCUCAUGCACGAAAGCGUGGGGAGCAAACAGGAUUAGAUACCCGUGU